rnacentral:lncRNA from 10 species
AGAGUGAGACUCCAUCUCAAGAAAAAAAAGAAAAAAAAGAUGAGAAGAGAACAGAUGGAAAAUUAGAGAAGGGGAGGCCAAUGAAAGGUAGAGAAAGGAAAGAAAGGGAAGAGGUGCACAGAAAAAAAAAGGUGGGGCUGGGCGUGGUGGCUCCCACCUGUAAUCCCAGCACUUUGGGAGGCCGAGGUGGGCGGAUCAUGAGGUCAGGAGAUCGAGACCAUCCUGGCUAACAUGGUGAAACCCCGUCUCUACGAAAAAUACAAAAAAAUUAGCCGGGUGUGGUGGUGGGCACCUGUAGUCCCAGCUACUAGGGAGGCUGAGGCAGGAGAAUGGCGUGAACCUGGGAGGCAGAGCAUGCAGUGAGCUGAGAUCACGCCACUGAAUAGAGCCCCAGAGACCUGUGGGACAAUAACAAAAGAAGUAAAUAACACAUAUCGCAAGAGUUACAGAAUAAGAAGUGAGAGAAAAUGUGGGGUUGAAAAUAUAUUGGAUGAAGUAAGGCUGAAAUUUUCCUAAAUUUUGUGAAAGGUAUAAACUUACAGAUUCAAGAAGUUGCGAAUGAAUGCCAAAGAGGAUAAACUCAAAGAAAUACCUGCUAAGACACAUCUUAAUGAAACUUUUGAAAACUAAAAGGAAAAGUCUUGAAAGUGGCUACAGAGAAAUGAUGUGUUGUAUAUAGGGGAACACCAAUUUGAAUGGCAGCAAAUUUUUCACCUGAAACAAUGGAGGUCAGAAGGCAGUGGCACAAUAUUUUUCAAGUUAUCUCAAGAAGAUAACUAUCAAUUACAAAUUCUAUCUCUGGUGACGAUAUCCUUGAGGAAUGAAGGAGAAAUAAAGACAUUUUUACACAAAGAAAACAGAGAAUUUGAUGCUAGCAGACCUACUCUCAAAGAAUGGCUGAUGGAAGUUCUCCAAACAAAGGAAAUUAUAACAGAAGACAUGGAACUUCAAAAAGAAAAAAGAACAAUGGAAUAGGUAAAAGUAGGAAUAAGAAUAAUAGACUAUCUUCAACAGUUUUAGAAAUAUGUGGUGGUUGAACCAAAGUCUUAUCAUCUGAUAUGGUACUCAGUGUUUGUAGAGGAAAUGUACAUUGUCACUACAUACACUUUGCAUAUAAUUAUAUUUUUAAAUAGAUGUAAUACAUAAAUAUGUUUUAGGAG